AAAAUCUUAUGUUAAUUAAACAAAUAGCCUUCAAAGUUAUAAAUAAGAGUAAUUAGCCUCUUAGGUUUUA
rnacentral:tRNA from 1 species